GGGCUUGUGGUUUAGUGGUAUAAUUUUCCCUUAGCAUUUCGAAGCGUGGGAAAGGUCCUGGGUUCGAUUCCCAGCAAGUCCA
rnacentral:tRNA from 1 species